rnacentral:rRNA from 1 species
ACACCGGCAGCUCUAGUGGUAGCAGUUUUUAUUGGGCCUAAAGCGUCCGUAGCCGGUUUAAUAAGUCUCUGGUGAAAUCCUGUAGCUUAACUGUGGGAAUUGCUGGAGAUACUAUUAGACUUGAGACCGGGAGAGGUUAGAGGUACUCCCAGGGUAGAGGUGAAAUUCUGUAAUCCUGGGAGGACCGCCUGUUGCGAAGGCGUCUAACUGGAACGGUUCUGACGGUGAGGGACGAAAGUUAGGGGCGCGAACCGGAUUAGAUACCCGGGUAGUCCUAACUGUAAACGAUGCGGACUUGGUGUUGGGGUGGCUUUGAGCUGCUUCAGUGCCGAAGGGAAGCUGUUAAGUCCGCCGCCUGGGAAGUACGGUCGCAAGACUGAAACUCAAAGGAAUUGACGGGG